CUUUUCCCUCAAGAACCAAAUUUUCGUGGUCGGUACAUUUUUGAAACCAAAGAGACUAAACAGGCUGAAGUAAAGGGCAAAAAGAUCAAGGAUUCCAAAGCUGGCGCUAUUACUGAAGCAAAACCAUUUUCGCACCUACAGGAAUGUGGUCCUCGUUUUACCCUUAAAUUGAUCAGUCUGCAGCACGGGACAUUUGAUCCUAGAGGCGGGGAGUUUGAGUGGGUUCACAAGGUAAUCCACUUAUCAGUCAAUUCAUUUCAGUAUAUUGGUUUCAUAUCUUUAUCAUAAGAAAAUAUUGAAAGAUACCCAUAUUGUUAGUCAAUUGUUUGC